rnacentral:rRNA from 1 species
GACGAACGCUGGCGGCGUGCCUAAUACAUGCCAGUAGAACGCACAGUUUAUACCGUAGCUUGCUACACCAUAGACUGUGAGUUGCGAACGGGUGAGUAACGCGUAGGUAACCUGCCUGGUAGCGGGGGAUAACUAUUGGAAACGAUAGCUAAUACCGCAUAAUAUUGAUUAUUGCAUGAUAAUUGAUUGAAAGAUGCUAUUGCAUCACUACCAGAUGGACCUGCGUUGUAUUAGCUAGUAGGUGAGGUAACGGCUCACCUAGGCGACGAUACAUAGCCGACCUGAGAGGGUGAUCGGCCACACUGGGACUGAGACACGGCCCAGACUCCUACGGGAGGCAGCAGUAGGGAAUCUUCGGCAAUGGACGAAAGUCUGACCGAGCAACGCCGCGCGAGUGAAGAAGGUUUUCGGAUCGUAAAGCUCUGUUGUAAGAGAAGAACGGGUGUGAGAGUGGAAAGUUCACACUGUGACGGUAUCUUACCAGAAAGGGACGGCUAACUACGUG